ACACAUUCCAGCCAAUCAGCAGCAGACCCUCCCUCCCAGACCUUCCCACCUCCUGGACAGCAUCCAUUUUGAAGCUGCAUUCUUAGUGAGCUGUCCAGGAGGUGGGAGGGUCUGGGAGGGAGGGUCUGCUGCUGAUUGGAUGGAAUGU